rnacentral:rRNA from 1 species
AUUGAACGCUGGCGGCAGGCCUAACACAUGCAAGUCGAACGAGUGGCGGACGGGUGAGUAAUGUCUGGGCAACUGCCUGAGGGUGAGGGAUAACUACGGGAAACGAUAGCUAAUACCGCAUACCAUCAGAUGUGCCCAGAUUGGAUUAGCUUGUUGGUGGGGUAACGGCUCAACAAGGCGACGAUCCCUCACUGGUCUGAGAGGAUGACCAGCCACACUGGAACUGAGACACGCUCCAGACUCCUACGGGAGGCAGCAGUGGGGAAUAUUGCACAAUGGGCGCAAGCCUGAUGCAGCCAUGCCGCGUGUGUGAAGAAUGCCUUCGGGUUGUAAAGUACUUUCAGCGGGGAGGCGUUAUCCGCAGAAGAAGCACCGGCUAACUCCGUGCCAGCAGCCGCGGUAAUAC